rnacentral:rRNA from 1 species
CCCUUAGAUGUUCUGGGCCGCACGCGCGCUACACUGAUGCGUUCAACAAGUUUCCUUGGCCGAGAGGCCUGGGCAAUCUUCUUAAUAUGUAUCGUGAUAGGGAUAGAUUAUUGCAAUUAUUAAUCUUGAACGAGGAAUUCCUAGUAAACGCAGAUCAUCAAUCUGCAUUGAUUACGUCCCUGCCCUUUGUACACACCGCCCGUCGCACCUACCGAUUGGAUGUUCCGGUGAAGCCUCGGGAUGAGGACUGGUGCCUUUAUUGGCAUGAGUUGUUCAGAACUUGCCUAAACCUUAUCAUCUAGAGGAAGGUGAAGUCGUAACA